CACUCUUGACAUCCAGAGAAUUUAGCAGAGAUGCUUUAGUGCUUCGGGAACUCUGAGACAGGUGCUGCAUGGCUGUCGUCAGCUCGUGUUGUGAAAUGUUGGGUUAAGUCCCGCAACGAGCGCAACCCUUAUCCUUUGUUGCCAGCGAUUCGGUCGGGAACUCAAAGGAGACUGCCAGUGAUAAACUGGAGGAAGGUGGGGAUGACGUCAAGUCAUCAUGGCCCUUACGAGUAGGGCUACACACGUGCUACAAUGGCGUAUACAAAGAGAAGCGACCUCGCGAGAGCAAGCGGACCUCAUAAAGUACGUCGUAGUCCGGAUUGGAGUCUGCAACUCGACUCCAUGAAGUCGGAAUCGCUAGUAAUCGUAGAUCAGAAUGCUACGGUGAAUACGUUCCCGGGCCUUGUACACACCGCCCGUCACACCAUGGGAGUGGGUUGCAAAAGAAGUAGGUAGCUUAACCUUCGGGAGGGCGCUUACCACUUUGUGAUUCAUGACUGGGGUGAAGUCGUAACAAGGUAACCAAGGGCGAAUUCCAG
rnacentral:rRNA from 1 species